rnacentral:rRNA from 1 species
GGGGGAUUUUCCGCAAUGGGCGAAAGCCUGACGGAGCAAUACCGCGUGAGGGAGGACGGCUUUUGGGUUGUAAACCUCUUUUAUCAGGGAAGAAUCGAUGACGGAACCUGAUGAAUCAGCAUCGGCUAACUCCGUGCCAGCAGCCGCGGUAAUACGGAGGAUGCAAGCGUUAUCCGGAAUUAUUGGGCGUAAAGCGUCCGUAGGUGGUUUAUCAAGUCUGCUGUCAAAGCGUGCGGCUUAACCGCAUAAGGGCAGUGGAAACUGAUGAACUAGAGUGCGAUAGGGGUAACAGGAAUUCCCAGUGUAGCGGUGAAAUGCGUAGAUAUUGGGAAGAACACCAGCGGCGAAAGCGUGUUACUGGGUCUGCACUGACACUGAGGGACGAAAGCUAGGGGAGCGAAAGGGAUUAGAUACCCCUGUAGUCCUAGCCGUAAACGAUGACAACUAGGCGUGGUUCGUAUCGACCCGAGCCGUGCCGUAGCCAACGCGUUAAGUUGUCCGCCUGGGGAGUACGCACGCAAGUGUGAAACUCAAAGGAAUUGACGGGGGCCCGCACAAGCGGUGGAGUAUGUGGUUUAAUUCGAUGCAACGCGAAGAACCUUACCAAGGCUUGACAUCCUCGGAACCCUGAUGAAAGUUAGGGGUGCCUUCGGGAGCCGAGAGACAGGUGGUGCAUGGCUGUCGUCAGCUCGUGUCGUGAGAUGUUGGGUUAAGUCCCGCAACGAGCGCAACCCACGUUUUUAGUUGCCAGCAUUCAGUUGGGCACUCUAGAGAGACUGCCGGUGACAAACCGGAGGAAGGUGUGGAUGACGUCAAGUCAGCAUGCCCCAUACGCCUUGGGCUACACACGUACUACAAUGCGUCGGACAAAGAGCAGCCAGCCAGCGAUGGUGAGCCAAUCUCAUAAACCGGCGCUCAGUUCAGAUUGCAGGCUGCAACUCGCCUGCAUGAAGGCGGAAUCGCUAGUAAUCGCAGGUCAGCAUACUGCGGUGAAUACGUUCCCGGGCCUUGUACACACCGCCCGUCACACCAUGGGAGUUGGUCACGCCCGAAGUCGUUACUCUAACUGCUUGCAGAGGAGGACGCCGAAGGUGGGGCUGAUGACUGGGGUGAAGUCGUAACAAGGUAGCCGUACCGGAAGGUGUGGCUGGAUCACCUCCU